rnacentral:rRNA from 1 species
AUAUCAAUAAGCGGAGGAAAAGAAACCAACAGGGAUUGCCCUAGUAACGGCGAGUGAAGCGGCAAAAGCUCAAAUUUGAAAUCUGGUUCUAGGACCCGAAUUGUAAUUUGUAGAGGAAAGUUUGGUGAUAUUAUCGGUCUAAGUUUCCUGGAACGGAACGUCUUAGAGGGUGAGAGCCCCGUAUUCGACUGGAUAGUAGAACCAUGUAAACUUCCUUCGAAGAGUCGAGUUGUUUGGGAAUGCAGCUCAAAAUGGGUGGUAAAUUCCAUCUAAAGCUAAAUAUUGGCCAGAGACCGAUAGCGCACAAGUAGAGUGAUCGAAAGAUGAAAAGCACUUUGGAAAGAGAGUGAAACAGUAC